AACGUAGGACACGAGCGUUAUCCGGAGUUACUGGGCGUAAAGGGCGGGUAGGCGGUGGCAUAAGUCUGGUGUGAAAGCUCCCGGCUCAACCGGGAGAGGACACUGGCGACUGUGGCACUUGAGGCAGAUAGAGGGGUGUAGAAUUCCGGGUGUAGUGGUGAAAUGCGUAGAGAUCCGGAGGAAUACCAGAAGCGAAGGCGGCACCCUGGGUCUGACCUGACGCUGAGCCGCGACAGCAUGGGGAGCGAACGGG
rnacentral:rRNA from 1 species